rnacentral:rRNA from 1 species
GAUGAACGCUGGCGGCGUGCUUAACACAUGCAAGUCGAACGGAAAGGCUCCUGCUUGCAGGGGAACUCGAGUGGCGAACGGGUGAGUAACACGUGGGUGAUCUGCCCUGCACUUCGGGAUAAGCCUGGGAAACUGGGUCUAAUACCGGAUAGGACGAUGGUUUGGAUGCCAUUGUGGAAAGUUUUUUCGGCGUGGGAUGAGCUCGCGGCCUAUCAGCUUGUUGGUGGGGUAAUGGCCUACCAAGGCGUCGACGGGUAGCCGGCCUGAGAGGGUGUACGGCCACAUUGGGACUGAGAUACGGCCCAGACUCCUACGGGAGGCAGCAGUGGGGAAUAUUGCACAAUGGGCGCAAGCCUGAUGCAGCGACGCCGCGUGGGGGAUGACGGCCUUCGGGUUGUAAACUCCUUUCGCUAGGGACGAAGCGCAAGUGACGGUACCUGGAGAAGAAGCACCGGCUAACUACGUG